rnacentral:lncRNA from 1 species
GUAUAAUUGGUGGUCGCUUGUAAUGUGAUAGAUGCCAUUGGAAAGGAAAGAAGGUUUAAUGGAUUGAAGCUUGAAUGGGGUUUUGAUCAGUUCAUCCCGCUUAAAGCUUUCAACGAUGCUUCAAAUGGAUACCUUUGUUGAAGUCAACAAAUUGUUGGUGCACCAACAAUUUGUUGAAAAAUUGAAAAAUAAUAAUAAUUAAAAAUUAUAUUUUUAAUUAUUUUAUUCUUAGCAUAGUAAUUCAUUUCUCCUAUAAAUAGCUAAGGAUUUCAUUCAUUUGAAAUUAUCCCAAAAUUUUUAAGCUUAUAAGUUUUUAAGCUUUUGAGAGAAGUGAGAGAAGUGUGUCUGGGGAAUUUAUCUUUCCUGCAGAGUGUGAGAGUACUGGGUAUAUUUGAGUUUCUGGGAAGUAAGAUUCGUUACUCAAAUAUUGUAUUCUAUUAAUUGUUAAAUAAACAAUUAUUCUUUCUUGCCUCCGUGGAUGUAGGUUUAAUUACCGAACCACGUAAAUUCUUGUGUCCUUUAUUUUUUCAGUAAUUUUUUUGUGUGCUUGAUUCCGCAUUCCACGCACAACAAGUGGUAUCAGAGCCGACGGUUCGUACUUGGGGGGAUACGGUACUGUUCACGUAUACGGUACUAUUCCUGUAUACGGUACUGUUCACAUACGGUCCUGUUCACGAAUACGGUGGAGACGGCCAUUUGUACUUGGGAGACAGUCUAUUGUAAGUAGUGUGUAUUUUUACAUGUCUAGGAAAGUUCUGUCAAAAAAGGCGAUAAGAGUCUAAGGAUUUUGGUUUUUAAUUGGGACCGAGUUCCCGUCCAGUUUCCUGGGAACUUUCCUGGUGCAUUUAUUUACGCGAAAUUAACAUCAUAGAGGCUGUUUUUCAAGUGGAAAUAGUUCGUUGAGAAAAAUGGUAGAAGGUGAAACUUCUAGAAUUGGGGAGAGAUCUACCGAGACUAUUUUAGGAGACACUUCAGGUGGGAGGCGAGAUUUGUCAAAUCGCUAUUCAGCACCUAUUAUAGGAGGCCAGAAGAUCGAUGUUGAAAAGUUUGAUGGGAAAAUCAACUUCGGCAUGUGGAGGCGCGAAGUUAUGGAUGCCCUUAUUCAAAUCGAUCUCGAUGUUGUUCUGAAAAAUAAAAGACACUUGUAUGAUGAAGAAAUUUGGGAUCGUAUGAACGAGAAAGCCUGUGGUCAGAUCAGAUCUUGUUUGACCAAGGAGGUGAAAUACUUGGUGAAAGAUGAGGAGUGUGCAGUGACUUUGUGGCGUACAUUGGAAGAGAAGUACCUGGUGAAAAGUCCUGAAAAUCGUCUUCAUGCAAUGAGCCAAGUAUAUGGCUUUCGAAUGAAGUCUGGGGUGUCAAUGCACGAUCAUGUUUCAAGAUUUGAAAAGUUACUUGCUGAUUUGAAGAAUCUUGAUGAAGAUAUUAAAGAUGAAGUCAAGGCUAUGAUUCUGUUACACUCACUACCAGAGGAAUAUAGCCAUUUUGUGACUACUUUGAUAUAUGGGAAGAGUGUGAUCGUCUUUAAAGAUGUUUGCACAGCAUUGACUAGCUUGGAGAUUCGGAAUAAUGAUAAAAAUUCUGAACGAGCAUCGUCUGAAGAUUUGGUGAGCAAAGAUUGGGCGAAGGAGAAACAGAAGAAGCGUGGUGGAAAGAAUUCUCGAUCCAAAUCGAGAAGCAGAAAUAUAGCUCGAGAUGAGUGUGCCUUUUGUCAUGAAAAGGGCCAUUGGAGGAAAGAUUGUCCAAAGGCUCAAAAGAGAGAUGGGAAGAAACCAGCAGCAGCAAACAUGGCACGGAAAGAUGAGGGCUCUGAUUAUUCACUAAGUAUUACUCCUGCAGCAUACGUGGCUAGUUCGAGCGAGUGGAUACUUGAUACUGGAUCAACCUAUCAUUUGUGUCCUAUUAAGGAAUGGUUUACGGAUUUUCGUAAUCUGGAAUCCGGUGCAGUUGUGAUGGGGAAUGAUCAACCUUGUCGCACAAUGGGGAUAGGAACAAUUCGGCUCAAAAUGUUUGAUGGAAUGGUCAGAGAACUCAAAGAGGUUAGAUUUGUUCCAGCUUUAAAGAAAAAUCUAAUUUAUGUGGGUGCUUUGGAAGCUAAAGGCUAUAAGGUUACCAUUGAAGAUGGUAUAAUGAAGUUUACACAUGGGGUUAUGGUGAUUCUGCAAGGGGUUCGGCGUCACAAUCUGUACUAUUUGAAGGGAGGUACAACUGAUGAAGCAAAUGUUGUUGAGGCGCACAGUGACACCACCAAGCUAUGGCAUGUACGACUGGGACAUGCUGGAGAGAAGUCUUUGCAAACUCUGAUGAGGCAUGGACUCUUAAAAGGUACCAAAACCUGUAAAUUAAAUUUCUGUGAGCAUUGUGUAGUAGGCAAGAAAACAAGGGUCAAGUUUGGUACAGCUAAUCACAAUACUCGUGAGAUCCUUGAAUAUGUUCAUAGUGAUGUAUGGGGACCAACCAAAACUGCAUCAAUUGGUGGAAGCCAUUAUUUUGUUACAUUUGUUGAUGAUUUCUCUAGACGUGUGUGGGUGUACACCAUGCGAGCAAAGGAUGAGGUUCUAGAGAUUUUCGUGAAAUGGAAGAAAUUGGUGGAGACUCAAACUGGCAGAAAGAUCAAAGUAUUACGAUCUGAUAAUGGGGGUGAAUAUACUUCUGAUCCAUUCUUGUAAGUAUGCCAGAACGAGGGUAUUAAAAGACAUUUCACGGUGAGACAUACUCCGCAACAGAACGGUGUGGCUGAGCGUAUGAAUCGUACUUUACUGGAGAAGGUACGAUAUAUGUUAUCUAAUGCUGGUUUAGAUAAAAAGUUUUGGGCUGAAGCUGUGAGCUACGCAAGUCACUUGGUAAACCGGUUGCCUUCUGCUGCAAUUGGAGGUAAAACUCCUAUGGAAAUGUGGUCUGGAAAGUAUGCACAAGACUAUGAUUCCCUUCGUGUAUUCGGGUGUCCAGCUUAUUAUCAUGUCAAAGAUGGUAAACUGGAUCCUCGUGCUAGAAAAGCUAUCUUUGUGGGAUUCAAAGGUGGAGUAAAGGGCUUCAAGCUUUGGGAUCUCGAAGACAAAAAGUUUGUGUGUAGUAGAGAUGUUACAUUUGAUGAAGCUUCAAUGAUGAAAGCUUCAAGUUCUCAGCAGGUGGAGAACAAGACCAAAGAGGUAUUGCAGCGGGUGGAGUUUGAUGCAACUCCAUAUGUACCAGUUAGUUCUACAUCAAAGAAUGGUUCAACUAUGGAGGUGACACCUAGAGUUGAAGAAGAGGUUGUUUCUUCUGAUGUCCCACAAAAUGAAGAAACAAUUGAUGAUGUAGAAAAUGAUGAUUUUAUAGCAACAAGGAGGCCAAGAAGAGAGAUAAAGAAACCCGGAUGGCUUACUAAAGAUAUGGUGGUAGCCUAUGCACUUCCAGUUAUUGAUGAUGACAUCCCCAACACUUUCGGUGAAGCAUUACGCAGCAGUGAAAGUGAUCAGUGGAAGUUAGCCAUGGAAGAAGAGAUGAAAUCUCUCCAUCAAAGCCAGACUUGGGAACUUGUAAAGUUACCAAAGGGGAAAAGGGUUAUUGGCAAUAAAUGGGUCUACACCAAAAAGCAAGGAUCUCCGAAUCAAACAACUCCUCGAUACAAGGCAAGGCUCGUGGCAAAAGGUUUUGCUCAAAAGGAAGGUAUUGACUACAAUGAAGUUUUCUCUCCAGUUGUAAAACAUACUUCCAUUCGUAUCCUACUUGUCUUAGUUGCAGAAUAUGAGUUAGAGUUGGCUCAAUUGGAUGUUAAGAUGGCGUUCUUACAUGGAGAUUUGGAGGAGGAAAUCUAUAUGAUUCAGCCUUGUGGUUUCAGAGUUGCUGGAAAGGAGAAUCAUGUGUGUAGGUUGAUUAAAUCUUUGUACGGACUGAAGCAAUCGCCAAGGCAAUGGUACAAAAGAUUUGAUCAAUUUAUACAAGGGCAGAAAUUCACUAGAAGUGAACACGAUCAUUGUGUUUACUUUAGAAGACUACUAGAUGGAGCUUUCAUCUAUUUGUUACUCUAUGUCAACGAUAUGCUUAUAGCUUCGAAGAAUGGAGAUGAGAUCAAAAGAUUAAAGAAACAGUUGGCUUCUGAGUUCGAGAUGAAAGACUUGGGUGAUGCACAGAGAAUACUUGGGAUGGAGAUUCGUAGAGACAAGAAGAAUGGGAGCGUAUGGUUGACUCAAAAGUCUUAUUUGAAGAAAGUACUAGAAAGAUUCGGUAUGGAUGACAAAACUAAACCGGUAUGUACACCUCUAGCUCCUUAUUUCAAAUUAAGCUCUUCUUCAUAUCCUAGAUCUCAAGAGGAGCGCGAUUACAUGGCUCGUGUUCCAUAUGCUAGUGCUGUGGGUAGUCUUAUGUAUGCUAUGGUAUGCACAAGGCCCGAUAUAUCUCAAGCUGUGAGCAUGGUUAGUAGAUACAUGCACAAUCCGGGUAAAAAUCAAUGGCUUGCGGUAAAGUGGAUUCUCCGAUAUCUGUAUGGGACAGUUGAUGUUGGGUUAUUGUUCAAGAAGGAUUGUGGUCAACAAUGUGUUGGGUAUUGUGAUUCUGAUUUCGCUGGAGACCUUGACAAGCGAAGAUCAACAACGGGCUACGUAUUCACAUUGGGUGGAGGUCCGGUUAGCUGGAGAUCGAUUCUACAAUCGACAAUUGCUUUGUCCACUACGGAAGCAGAGUAUAUGGCAGCAACUGAAGCUGUAAAAGAAGCUAUCUGGUUGAAAGGCUUGUUAGGUGAUUUGGGAGUAAUCCAGGAGAACAUUGCGGUCUUUUGUGAUAAUCAAAGUGCGAUAUUCCUUGCGAAGAAUCAAACAUAUCACGCUCGGACGAAGCACAUAGAUGUGAAAUAUCAUUAUGUGAGAGAGAUUAUCGAGAGCGGUGUUGUGUUGUUGAGAAAGAUCGAUACCAAAGAUAAUCCAUCAGAUAUGUUGACGAAGGUAGUUUCUGGAGUUAAGUUUCAACAUUGCUUGAAAUUAAUUCAAAUCCUUCGAUUGUGUUAAGAUAUGUCCUUCCGGAAUUUUGAACUACGGUUGGCUUGAUCCCAAAUUUUGGGUACGUAAGCAGUCAAAAAGAUGCAGUCACUUUGGGGAUGAUGACUCGUUGGUAGUCGGCUCAGAUUUGAAAAAUUUUUGCCGAGGUGGAGAUUUGUUGAAGUCAACAAAUUGUUGGUGCAAAUUUGUUGAAGUCAACAAAUUGUUGGUGCACCAACAAUUUGUUGAAAAAUUGAAAAAUAAUAAUAAUUAAAAAUUAUAUUUUUAAUUAUUUUAUUCUUAGCAUAGUAAUUCAUUUCUCCUAUAAAUAGCUAAGGAUUUCAUUCAUUUGAAAUUAUCCCAAAAUUGUUAAGCUUAUAAGUUUUUAAGCUUUUGAGAGAAGUGAGAGAAGUGUGUCUGGGGAAUUUAUCUUUCCUGCAGAGUGUGAGAGUACUGGGUAUAUUUGGGUUUCUGGGAAGUGAGAUUCGUUACUCAAAUAUUGUAUUCUAUUAAUUGUUAAAUAAACAAUUAUUCUUUCUUGCCUCCGUGGAUGUAGGUUUAAUUACCGAACCACGUAAAUUCUCGUGUCCUUUAUUUUUUCAGUAAUUUUUUGGUGCGCUUGAUUCCGCAUUCCGCGCACAACAACCUUGUCGAGGAUACCUGUGUUUUUGGAGCUGAAGUCUUUGUUAAAGAAAGAAACAUAGUCAAAGGAGAGUGCCUAUCCAUGGAAAAAUAUGCAUAUAGUUCUAAGUAUGUUUGGAAGGUUGAAAACUUUUCAAAGUUGGACAAAGGACGUCAGGAAUCACAAGUGUUCUGUGCUGGAAAUCAGAAAUGGUAUCAAAGAUUCAAUUUUUUUUUUAUUUAAAUCAGAUUAUAGAUGUAAAUACGUUCUUGAAUCUUGAGGCAAGGUUUUCGGUGAAUGUACAAUUGAAUUCCAUAUCAUUCUGUUCAGGAAGAUAGAGCUCCACCCCAUGGGAACCGGCGUUGGUGCUGGCGAUCAUCUUUCUCUGUUCUUGGCUUUGGGAGAUUCCACAGUUGAGUCUGUGAAAGUAUAUGCAGAGUUCACAUUGCGAAUCUUGGAUCAAGUGGGGGCAAAACAUCGAUCUUUUCAAGGUAAAAUGUCUGUCUUUACAUGUAAUUAGUAAGUCAUCUUAAUUAAUUGAAGGCAAAUCCAAAUAAUAUUACGAGAAUGCUCGUUUUACUCUAGCAGCUAAAUACUGGUUCCGUAGACCAAGCGAUGGCUGGGGCUGGCCAAGGUUCGUUUCAUUGAGUAAGUUAAAUGAGCCAGGGACUGGGUUUCUAGUGAAUGACGCUUGCGUGGUGGAAGCUGAGGUCACUGUACUUGGAAUUUUCAAGCCAUUAUAACAAUUAAUUAAUUGGUUUUUUUAUCGUGCGAUGCUGUCUGCCUGGCCAGUCUAGGAAAUUUAUUUCUCUUGUGGUUGCCAAAAUAUGGUUAUGUAGUUUACUGUUUCUGCUGUCCAACUAAAUUUUUAGUGUGAUUUGAGUGCUAUGCAUUUCUUAAGAGAUAAGCUUCAUUAUAUCCCUAAGCCGUAAUUCUUCUCUUCUAAGAUUUUAUUUUAUUUUAAUUUUUUUAAACGAAGUAAUUGGUACAAAGAAAAUUGGGAUGCAAGAGAACUAAUAAUUCCACGUACUAAAAGAAUGAAAACCAAGUAUAGUAGAGCUUUGUUAAAUCAAUAUUCAAUAAAUUGAUAACUUCAAUUAAAUAAUAAUUUUUAUCGGUAUUAGCUUGGAGCUUGUAUGAUAAAUUAAUAAUUUGAUAAAUUUAUUAAAAUAUAAUUUUAAAAAAAUCUUAUUUUCGUACAACACUCAGUUAAUACAUAAUUGAAUAAUUAAUUAAUUUACAGCUAAAUACAUUGAUAUGUUUAUGAUUUUCUUUAUUGUUCUGACAUAAUGUUUUUUAUCAAUCAUUAUUGUUUUUUACCACCUUUAAGAUGUGCUGUAUUAAGAGAAAUAAGACAGUGCUCAUUGCUUUCAAAGAGUCUCUUUUGAUGAGUUACCAUAUAAUCGUAAUUCAGUUAGCCAAAAGAUUAUCGAAUGACUGAUUUACUCAAUUAAGAUCAAAUCAAAAUCAUAUCACACAACAUGACAGAAUCACUAAAUUCUUUAAUAGGUUACCUAUAUACUUCAUAAAAAAUCUUAUUAUGAACGUGAUAAUAUUUUAAUAAAAGUAAAUUGAUAAUUUAUUAAUUUAUCGAUAUAUUAAUAUUCUUUAAAUUAAUAUAUUUUUCAUGGUUUUAAAUACUAUUAAUUUACGAAGGUUCUAUUUUAUAUAUCAUUACAAUAGAGUAUCAGCCACUUUGUUACCUAUCCAUUGAGUGAAGCAGCUGAAGACAAUUAAACCAAUCAAUGUGAAGCCCUGCCAUUGAGGAGAGUAAAUCAAAUUCAGAUCAUCAAAGUCAGCAAAAUUAUAAAACCGCUUGUAAGACAACUGUUUUUUUUUUCCUAGGAUUCUUUAUAUUUAGAUGUUACUUGACUUUUUUUUUUUUUAAUGCAAAUUGCUGAAAUGACUUGAUUCUACAAGAAAAUUGGGAUCCUGGUUGUAGUUUGAGUUCGAAUUAAUAGAGUGAAUUUAAUUAACAAAUCCAAUCACAUGGAAUAUCAGCUAAUCAAUGAUUUGGGGUCAUCUUCAUGUAACAGACGCCAUGGGAAAUGAAAGAAGCUUGAAUUAGGUUUUGAUCAAUUCAGAAUUUAACGAUGCUUCGAAUGGAUAUCUUGAAGGACAUACGUGUGUUUUUGGAGCUGAAGUCUUUGCUAAGAAAGGAACAACUUCUAUGCACCUGGUAUUUGGCUGACUUCUCAACUGUAACUCGUGGUUUUAAAAAUACCUUCGUUUCACACUGCAAAUCCAGGAUCAAGUGCAUCCAAAGCAUAAUCAUAAAACUUUACCCUUGUUAUUAUUAACCCAAACUUUAAUAGGUAUUCAAGUUCAUCAAUAAGCGUAGUAGCUAAAUACAGAUAACUUCAGGUUUCUAUUGCUGUUCCUGCAGCCAGUACAUGGUUUAGGAACUCAAUCGAAGAUUGGGGCUGGCACUAAUUUGUUGAACUCAGUUACUUGAACAAGGCAAGAAAUGACUAGUCAUCCUGGUCCGCAUUUUCUGUUUUUAGUUUCACUAUCAACAAAAAGAAUGAAAGACUCUUUAAAUAAAAUAUAAAACAAGCCUCAAAGAUUGUACAAAUUAUAUAGCUCAAAGAGAAUUUUAAAUUGUCAAAAUUCUAACUUUAAUAUAAGAAUAAACCCCAUCUCUCUUUCAAUUUUUAUAAUUCCCAAAAUCCUCAGCUUUUCUUUGAAUAAAGAAAAAGAGUACGUCAAACUAAUCUCAUUAUCUUAAUCUCUAUUUUUUUUUAUACAGGCAUUUAUGUGUAUUUUCUUUGUAUUUUUCUUUUCAACAUAUUCAUAUAUAUAUAUAUAUAUAUAUAGGGUUAGGAACUUUCACUCUACUCCUUAUGGUAAUCUUUUUCUCAAUGUAAAUUUUCCUCAAUAUACUAAUGGUACAAAGACCAAACUACUAAAAAAUAACUUUACUCUUAAUGGUUAAAGGUAAUCAUUUCAGACUAUAGUACCUUUUAUGCUACAUUUUAUUGUGGAGGUAAGAAUCGAGGCAUGAUUACAAUGCUUCGUCUCAUUCAUUAUGGAACUAAAUUAUUCUUCGUUUACCUUUUAUGUUUGCUUAUGGAGUUUUUUUCGUAGCUGUAGCAUUUUCCUUUGUUCAAUUUCCGAGAGGCUUUGCAUUCGGAACAAUUCCUCUUUACCGUUUUGAAUCUUUGCUUUAUUGCUUUACAGAAUUAUUUUCUAAGCUUAUCACGACUAGGGAAUUAUUCCUUUAAGCUGAGAAGGGAUCAUUAUUAUUGGGGAAUUAUUCCCCUAAGAAUACAAGGAAUUAUUCCUGUAGGGGAAUUAUUUCCUUAUGAUUAUGGGGGAUAAUUUUUGCUGGGGAAUUACUCUCCCUAGGGAAUUAUUUCCUGAAGCUUAUAGCAUAUUAUUCAUGCCGAGGAAUUAUUUCCCUAUAUGUAUAGGGAAUAGCUUUUGCUAGGGACUUAUCUCCCUAUGCUUAUAGGGAGUCAUUUUUUUUUGUGAAUUAUUCUUGCUAUGGAAUUGUUUCCUUAUGCUUAUUGGGAAUUAUUCUUGUUGGGGAAUUAUUUCCCUAUGCUUAUGGGGAAUAAUUUUUGUUGGGGAAUUAUUCUUAUUAGGGAAUUAUUUCCUUAACCUUAUAGGGAAUUAUUCUUAUUAGGGAAUUAUUCUCUAAAGCUUAGAGUUAAUUAUUCUUACUGGCGAAUUAUUUCCUUAACCUUAUAGGAAAUUAUCAUUGUUGGGAAUUAUUCCUUUAAGCUUAUAGGGAAUUAUCAUUUUGAUAAAAUGGUGUUGCAUUUGAAUGUAUCAAGGAUUUUCUGAAUAAUGUAAGCAUUCAUCAUUGAUAUAUCAAACGGCAAGCUUGGAAUAACGUUGAUAUAUACAUUGGCAUAGAUUUCGACUUCGGACUUUUGACUACCAUAUCAUCAAUGUAAGCUUCCACAAUAUUCCUCAACAAUCCAUUGAAGAUUUUAGUCACAAGCCUUUGAUAGCUGGAACUAGCGUUUUUCAACCUGAAAAGGCAUGAGUUUGUAGCAAAAUAGAGCUCUUGGAGUGAUAAAGCUUAUUUUUUCCACAUGCUUUGGAUGCAUCGGGAUUUGUUGUUUCCGCUGUAUGCAUCCAAAAGGGAAAGCCUUUAGUAGGUAGUGGUAGCAUCCACUAAUUGGUCAAUUUUUGGCAAGGGAAAGGAUCCUCCGGACAGGCUUUGUUAAGGUUUGUGUAAUCUAUGCAUACUGGCCAUUUUUUUUCACACCACAACAACAUUAGAGUUCAAUUCAGGGUAUUGAACAUCCUAAAUGAAUCAAACCUUGAAGAGGCGUUCCAUUCCAUUUCUGAGCAAAUCUCCCAUGUUUUUGUUGCACUAGUUUUACCAUUGGGUCAAUUGUUAAUUGGUGGUAUGCAACUUCUGGAUAUAUUCAUAGCAUGUUUGUGUGACCAUGCAAAAGCAUCGUACUUCCUCUUGAGUAGGAAAAUCAUAAGUCUUUUCCACUUGAGCCAAUUUGCACCCUUUUUCUGAGGCUAAAGGAUCAAGGGAUAUUGUUUCUAGUUCUUCAAUGACAAGCUCCUUGUAGUGCAAGCAUCGAGACAUUCAAUUUGGCAUUGGAUCUUACAGUUGUUAUUUAGCCCCAUCCUCCACCAAUUGUUGUGGUGAAGGAAAGGUUCCUCAAUAAGUCUAUGUUCUAAAGAUGAGAACUAUCUCAUUUCCUCUAUUGUCAGCUUUUUCUUGUUCUCCAGAACGAGUUCUGAUCUAAAUGUUCCUUUGCAAGGUUUGAUGAUGACAAUUGCCAUCAUUUGAUCUUCUUCUAUAUUAAAUGUCCCCCUCCCUAUUUGAGAAACACCACAGACACUUAGUACAGUGUUGCGAAAACCGACUCUAUAUAGUAAAGCCAACGUCUCUUUAAUAUUGCAAGGUAGGCCUAUUGGGCAUUAAUGACCAUAAAAUCAACUGAAAUAGUCUUGUCUCUAACUUUUAGUGGGAGGUUGAUUAUUCUUUUUGCCGUUAGCCUUAUUCCCUCAAAGGCUAUAAAAGGGGAAUAUCAUUUUUGUAAAUAGUCUCAUUUUUUGAAAUCAUCCCAAUAAGGAAUCUUUGCCGCUACUUUCCUCAUUAAUAAGAAUAAUUUUAACCACAAAAUUGGUGAUUUUCAGACUUACCACCAAGUGGUCUAUAUGAGGCAUGUCAAUUCUUUCAAAGUCUUUUUGAGAGAAAGUAAGUUAGGCAGGCUCCUUUGAAAUGGACAUAAUAGCAACUAUGAAAGUUUUAAUGAUUUCGUAUCACUAUAUCUUUUGUGCCUGAUAACCAUGACAUUUUUAAACUUAAACCAAUAGUAUUUAGAGAGUAAAUGAUGCAUUUUUAUUACAUUCUUAGUUACAUUUUGUAUGAGCCUGUAUUUAAAUUUUAUUUUGAUAAAUUGGUUGUAUUUUAGAUUACUUUGUGCUCUAAUUAUGUGUGAUUGUGGGGGACAAAAAAGCUUAAGCUUUAUGGAUGGAAAGCUGCAGCAGCAGAGUUGCAGAGAUGACAAAAAAACUUGGCUGCAGAGGAAAUAAAACAAGUCUCAAACAGAGAAGAUGUUGUAGUCAUUACCGGGGAUUGGUUGUUUAUUGUGAUUUAUGAAAUCAGUUUUAGUUGGUGACAAUUUUUAUUUUUCUUUUAAUUUGUCUACUUUGUUGACAGAAGUGCUCUAGCAACCCUUGCAUGUGCAAAUAUAAACUUGUUGAAUUCCAGUUUGAUCUAGAAAUUGAAAGAACUGCAAGGAGAUUGAGAAAAAAAAUAGAGAAAUUUAAAAGUUGUUGUAGACAUGGAUGAUUUGCAAGAUAUAGGGAAUUUCAACCCUCGAGGAGAAAUUGAAUCAGUUAAUGCACAAGGAGGUAAAGAAGGUCAUAAUGGGUCUAUUAUUCAUGGCAACUAGGGAACAACAAUAUUAUCUACAUGGCAGAUGAUAGAGAGAGAGUCAUAAGAGAUUAUGUUGUGCUAACUCCUCAAGCCAUAAAUCCUGAAAUAGUUAGACCUGAAGUGCAAGCUGCUAACUUUGAGCUCAAACCAAUGAUGUUUCAGAUGCUUCAAACAGUAAGGGUAAGGUAAUUUAAUGGUCUACCAUAAGAAGAUCCUUAACGUCACCUUAAGCUAUUUUUGGAAGUAAAUGAUACUUUUAAGAUUGCUAGAGCAUUACAGAAAGCAUUGAGACUCAAACUUUUCCCAUUUUCUCUAAGGGAUCAAGUAAAAACAUAGUUGAACUCUUUGCCACCUAACUUCAUUAUAUAUGGAAUGAUUUGGUUUACAAAUUUUUAAUGAAGCACUUUACACCAACCAAGAAUACAAAUUGAGGAAUAAAAUCACAUUUUUCUAUCAACUCAAAGAUGAAAGCUUGUAUGAUGCAUGAGAAAUAUUUAAAGAGUUACUUAGGAGAUGUCCUCAUUAUGGUAUUCCUUACUAUAUAUAGUUGGAGACAUUUUACAAUGGUCUCAACCCAAGCACUAGAUUGAUAUUGGAUACUUCAGCAAAUGGGGCCUUGUUAUCCAAGUUCUAUAAUGAGGCCUAUGAGAUUUUGCAAAAGGAUAGCUAAUAACAACAGAAGUCCACAAUAUAAACGUCUUUACAGCAUUAUCAGCCCAAGUAACCUCAUUAACAAAUAUAGUAAAGGCUAUGACUACUGCUCUAGCAACUGUUAGCUAAAUUGCUGAUGUAUCUUGUGUUUAUUGUAGAGAAGGGCAUCUAUUUGAUAAUUGUCCUUAAAAUCCAACCUCAGUCACUUAUGUGGGCAACUUUAACAGAACAAUCCUUGCUUAAACAUUUAUAACCCUGGAUGGAGACAACAUUAAAAUUUUUCAUAGAGCAAUCAUAAUCAACAUGUUGUAGUAUCCAGUGGACAGAACAAGCCUGCUCAACCAUUUAGAUUUCACCAGUAAAAUCAAAGGCAAAGAAACACAAGCAAUGAUCAACUAAGUUCUUUUAUAGCUUUGACUAAGGUAUAUAUUGUGAAGAAUGAAGCAAUUGUUUAAUGGCAACCUGUGUAUUUAAGAAACCUAAUAAAUCAUAUUGAACGACUUGCUCCAGCACUAAACAACAGACCUCAAGGCAGUUUACCCAGCAAUAUAGAGAAUCCCAAAGAGAAAGGAAAGAAACAUUGUAAAGUGAUUAAUUUAAGGUUUGGAAAUGAUGUUAAUAUUCCAGUAUGUGCACUAAAAAGAAGAGUUGAACUUUUUUCAACCCAAGAAAAAACUUAAGUGGAAGAGGAACCAUAACAUCCCACUUUUCAACCCACUGAUGUAAACAACCAAGCUACAUGAUCUAUAGAAAAUGAUGAUCCAAUGCCUGUUAGUAAAGAUGAUGCAGCACUAACCACAUCAGUCUACAACAUGGCAAAAGAGAAGUAGUCUAUACAGUCUGCUACAACACAAUAGUUUACGCACCCACCACCCUUUCCACAAAGAUUUUAGAAGCAAAAGUAAGACAAACAAUUUAGCAAAUUCUUCAAAAUCUUGAAGCAGUUACAUAUCAACAUUUCUUUUGUGGAAGCCCUAGAAUAAAUGCUGAAUAAUAUAAAGUUCUUGAAGGACAUGUUGGCAAGAAAAAGAAAGCUUGGAGAGUUUGAAACAAUUGCUCUUACAAAAGAAUGCAGUCAUAUACUUUAUAAUAAAAUCCUUCAGAAGCUAAAGAAUCUAGAAAGUUUUACAAUUUUAUACUUUAUAUGAACUAAAUAUAAUGGUAAAGCACUUUUUGAUUUGAGAGCUAGCAUCAAUCUCAUGCCUUUAUUAGGGUUCAAGCAAUUGGGAGUUGGAGAAGUUAAACCAAUAAUAAUGACUUUACAACUUGUUGACAGAUCUUAUGCCUAUCCAAAAGGCAAGAUUAAAGAUGUAUUGGUAGAGGUGGAUAAGUUUAUUUUUCCAUAGAUUUCAUAGUAUUGGCUUUGAAGUUGAUAAAGAAAUGUCAAUCAUUUAGGUAGACCUCUCUUAGCCACAAGAAAGACUUUAAUUAAUGUGCAAAAAAAGAGAGCUGACUAUGCGGGUUAAUGAUUAGCAAGUUACAUUUAACGUGUUAGAUGCCAUGAAGAGUCAUUAUGAUGCUGAAGACUAUAAUUUUAUCAGUGUUGUAGAUAUUAUUGUAGCAGAGAGGUUAAAUAGUUACUGCAGCAAUGAAGAAAUCAAAGUUAUAACACUUGAAGAACUAGAAGAUGAAGAUCUUCAAAUAGAUGACAUAGCAUGGUUAGGAGAGAAGCAACUCAUGAGAACUGACAAGCACUUUGAAUCUAUAAAUAUCUUAAAUAGGGAAGUAAAAUUGUCUAUUCCCUCUAUUGAGUGGCUUCUUAUUUGAGAAUUAAAAAUUUUACAUUCACAUUUGAAGUAUGUUUAUCUUAGUGACAAUGAUACACUUUCUGUAAUCAUUUCAUCUUCUUUGAAUACAGAACAAAAGAAGAGUUUGGUGGAUGUAUUGGAAAAAUACAAGAACAACAUUAUUUGAACCAUGGCAGAUAUCAAAAGACUUAACCCCUCUGUAUAUAUGCACAAGAUCUUGUUGGAGGAUUAUUACAGCAACUCUGUAGAGUAACAGAAAAGAUUAAAUCCUAUCAUGAAGGAAGUUGUGAAGAAAGAGAUCAUUAAGUGACUUGAUGCUGGAAUCAUUUACCUAAUACUAGACAACUCAUGGGUAAGCACAAUACAAUAUAUUCCAAAGAAAGGUGGAGUAAUAGUUGUAGCAAAUGAAAAAAACAGAUUAUUCCUACAAGAAUAGUAACUGCAAGGGGGGUGCUGAAGGCAGGGCUAGUGAUUGGAGUGAAAUCGUAACAAGGUAGUCGUACUGGAAGGUACGGUUGGACCACCUUCUUUUUAGGGAAAGCUAAUGCUUGUUGGGUGUUUUGGUUUGACACUGGUUCACACCAAAAAAGAAGUGAGUUACGCCUGAGUUAAAGUUAAACAAAACCAUAAAGAAAGAUCACUCCCAUUACCUUUUAUAGACAAAUUUCAGACAUAAGAUCACUCUCAUUACCUUUUAUAGACAAAUUUCAGACAUACUUGCUAGAAAAAAGUGAUAUUAUUUCUUUGAUGGAUACUUAGGCUACAACUAGAUUGCUAUAGCACUAAAGGAUCAGCAGAAGACCACAUUCACUUGUCCUUAUGAAACCUUUACCUUCAGAAGGAUGCAUUUUACCUGUGCAAUGCUCCAGUAACUUUCCAGAGGUGUAUAAUGUCUAUUUUUUAAGAUAUGGUCGAGCAAACACUUGAAGUAUUCUUGGAUGGUUUUUCAUUGUUUGGGGGAUCAUAUGAUGACUUCUUGCAUAAUCUAGAAAAUGUGCUCAAGAGAUGUGAAGAGACAAAUUUAGUAUUGAAUUGGGAAAAGUAUCAUUUCAUAGUACAAGAAGGGAUAAUCCUAGGCCAUAGGGUCUCUAAAAAAGGAAUAGAGGUGGACAAAGGAAAAAUAGAGGUGAUUGAUAAACUUUCACCACAUACUUCAGUCAAAGGCAUAAGGAGUUUCUAAGGACACAUUGGGUUCUAUAGACAGAUCAUUAAGGACUUUUCCAAAAUAGCCAAACAUUUAUGCAUUUUUCUGAUGCAUGACAGACCCUUCAAUUUUAAUGAGCAUUGUUUAAAAGCAUUUAUUGAGUUGAAGAGAGCUCUUGUUAGGGCAUUAGUUGAUGUAAUAUCUAAUUGGAGUAUCUCUUUUGAGUUGAUGUGUAAUGCUGGCGACCAUUUUGUUGGAGCAGUGCUGGGGCAAAGGAAAGAUAAGAUUUUUCACUCCAUUUAUUAUACCAACAAAACUUUAACUAAUGCACAACUCAACUACACUACCACUGAAAAAGAGUUGCAAAUAGUUGUUUUUACAUUUCAUAAAAUCAGAGUCUAUUUGGCUUGCACCAAAGAGACUGUUUAUACAAAUCACUCAAAUAUAAAGUAUUUGAUUUCAAAGACAGAUGCUAAACCAAGGUUGAUUAGGUGGAUUUUGUUACUACAAGAGUUUAACCAAGAGAUUAUGGACAGAAAAGGCACUAAGAAUCAAGUAACAGAUCAUCUCUCAAGGCUGAAAGUAGAGGCAAGCACUUUAACUAAGCAUGACAUAACAAAAACUUUUCCUGAUGAGUAAUUAUUGAUAAUAUAGCAUGCAUAGAUGCUACAACAAUCUGGAUUCCUAUAGUAUGCAGAUUUUGUUAGUUAUUUGGUGAAUGUAAUACUACCACCUAGUUUCCACUACCAGUAAAAGAAGAGAUUUCUCUAUGAUGUCAGAAGCUAUCAGUGGGAUGACCCUUACUUGUACAAGUUGUGUUGAGAUCAUCUGAUUAGAAGAUGUGUUCCUAACCAAUAAAUUUUUAAUAUUUUACAGUCUUGUCAUGCUACAACAUAUGGUGGAUACUUUGGAGGACACAAAACAACAGCAAAAAUUCUUCAAACGGUUAUUAUUAGCCCUAUAUUUUCAAGGAUGCUUACGAGUUUUUUAAAUGUUGUGGCAGGUGCCAAAGAACAGGAAACAUCUCUCAAAAGCAUGACAUUCCAUUAACCAACAUCUUAAAGAUUGAACUUUUUUAUGUAUGGGGAAUAGACAUUAUGAGACCAUUUCCACCCUCCUUCGGAAACUUAUAUAUCUUAGUUGUUGUGGACUGUGUAUCCAAGUGGGUAGAAGCUGCAGUAUUGCCAACAAAAAAAAAAUGAUAAGGCAAUGGUGAAGUUUCUUUAGAAGAAUAUUUUCUCAAGGUUUGGCACUCUUAAAGCCAUAGUCAGUGAUAAAAGAACACAUUUUUACAACAUGAUGUUUGUUGUAGCAUUGGCAAAGUAUAAUAUCAAGCAUAAAGUUGCUACAGCAUUUCACCCACAAAAAAAUGGUUAGACAGAAGUGUCCAUCGGGGAGAUAAAAAAUAUUUUGGAGAAAAUGGUGAAUCCCAAUAGAAGAAUUGGUCCCUUAGAUUAAAUGACUUCUUAUGGGUUUACCGAACAACUUAUAAAACCCCACUUGGCAUGUCUUCAUACAUAAUUAUUUACUGGAAAACAUGCCAUUUGUCGUUAGAGCUAGAGUACAAAGCAUAUUGGGUAAUAAACACAACUGAACAUGGAUAUUAUUGCUACAACAGAAUAAAGGAAGUUACAUCUUUGUGAGACAGAAGAGUUAAGAUUGUUUUCCUAUGAAAAUUCAAGAAUAUACAAGGAGAGGAGCAGGCAAUGUCAUGACAAGGAAAUCCAACAGAGGGAGCUCAUUCCAAAUCAACAAAUCUUGCUUUAUCAUUCAAAACUAAAGCUCUUUCUUGAAAAAUUAAAGUCUAGAUGGUCAGGGCCUUUCAAACUUAUCAAAGUUUAUCCUGACAGGGCUACUUUAAGAUGAAAAGACAGGCCAAGAAUUCAAAAUGAAUGGACAAAGAGUAAAGUAAUACAUUGGAGUUGCUGUGAACAAUCCAAGGGAGGAUUUGCUCUUAAGGACCCAACUUGAGCAAUCAGGGAUGGUCACACUGAAAGACUUAAAAUCAAGCGUUGAUUAGAAGGCAACCUAUUAGAGGAAGUUGUUUUAAGUUUUUUUAAGCAUUAAAUUUAGUUUUAAAAUUUGUUUAAUUUUUCUUUUUGUUAUUUUAAUUGUACGUCUAAUUUCCUUAUUUUUUUAUUUCCUUAUGUUAAAUUGCGGUAAGUAUAAGUUGAUAUAAAAAAAAUGUGUGGACAAAGAGACCAAAAGGAAUUGCUGCAAUAUCAUUUACAGCAUGGUAGUUAGAAGAUGGUUCUCAAACAACAGAGGCAUUUAUCGUUGUUGUUGUACCAACAGAUUGGUUGUUAUAGCAACGAUUUUUACCACUGCACUGUCAGCUUUGGAUUUUUACUAUUAGAGGGCUAACACACUCAUGUCACAGAUCAAAAUUUAUGACAAGGAUGAUUCAACAAAACCUGAUUUACCGUGACAUAUAUCCUUUGCUUUCUUUUAAAAUUUUGUUUAGAAUUCAAAGAAUAUUUCCAAGUUUAUCCUAUUAAUUACCUUUCUCUUUCCAUUUUUCUUUUGCUAUAAAUUAGGGCUUUACUUUCACUUUGAAUAUUUGAAAUUCACUAUUGCUCUUUCUCACCCCAUCAGUAACUUUCAACUUCUUUACCAUUCUCAUGUUCUAUUCUUUUAAGCAAAACAAAACUCUGUUCAAAUUGCUAUGCCAAAAAUUAAAGCACGUGCUAGUAAAUUGAUAAACCCCAAGUGUUUCUACAGUUUUAAAGCUGAGGAAAAAUUUAAAGACAUUAUCGAGCGUCGAAAAAUUCUGGAAGAAAAGAGAUUUCAAUUUCUAAAAUAGCCAAAGGGGAUGAUAAACAACAUAUACAUUGUUGUAGCACGAAGAGGAUGGAUCAAGUUUUGUGCUCACCCCAAAGACUCCGUCAUUCCGGUCAUUAAAGAGUUCUAUUCCAACAUGUUACAACAAGACCAACACAACAUCUUUGUGUGGCAAGUGCAAGUACCUUUAAACUCUCGAGUUAUUAAUGUUUUUUAUAACUUGCCUCCUGUGAUUGAUUGUGAGUACACUAAAUUUGCUGAGAACAUGACUGUAAAUAGGUGGGGGGAGGUUCUUAAAACCUUCACUAUUCAAGGUAGUAAAUGGAUAAAUGAGGAGGGUAUAGUGGUCAAUAAGAUAGACUUAAAGCAUAUUGCUAAGGUUUGGGUGAAAUUAUUAAAAUCUAGACUAAUGUCAGUUACCUACACUACAACAGUUUCUCAAGAUAGAUUCAUACUGCUAUAUGUUAUAGUAAUGGGUUUAGUCAUAGAUGUUGGAAGGAUUAUUGAAAAAGAAAUUAGAGAGUGUACAAUAAAGAAGUAAAAAUCUAUUGCCUUGCUGUUUCCUUAACUUAUCAUAGGCAUUUGUGUGGACUCUAGGGUAAAAUUUGAGGCAAGUGAUGAAAUAGUGAAGAAUGAAGGGCUAUCACUGCUAGAACAAUUGAAUGAAUUGCUGUGAUAUCCACUGCUGCAGCAACCCUAGAGCACUCUGCUGCAACUAAAGUAGAUCAAGCCACGAGGAUUGAGCAAAUGUUGCAGGAGCUCAGUGAUAGCAUAAAUGCAUAUGUCCAAGCACAAAAGGAAGAAAAUCAAAGAUUUUGGACUUACUUAAUACAUCUUGAAGCAAAGAAGCAUCAAUUUGCCAUAUAUAUGAAGAGUAAACAUGCAAAUUUCCCUAAGUCAAGCUGCAACAAUUUAAUUUUUCAGAGAGCUGAGAAGGUUAUUCCAGUAUGAGAAAGUGAAGAAAGAGAGAAUGAAUGAGAGUCAGCAGAAGAGCAGCAAUAAGAAAAAGGGGAGGUUGUAGAUGUUGAAACAGAAAAAGAAGAAGAGAGUGAAGAGGUGGAAAAAGAAUAGGAAAAUGAAGAGGAACCACCAAUUGUGACUUCAAAUAACAAGGGUAAAAAAAAGACUUUGAUCGAUGAGGAAUCCAAGCAAGAGGAAGAAAAGAACAUUGUUGUAGCUUUAGAGGAGGCCAUAAGCAGAGUCAUAUAGGCAAAAGAAACAAAGAUGAGUUUGAGGGAAAUAAUUGCGAGCAUCACUGUUGAGCAACCAGCAGCAAUAACUCCUUUACCAACUGCCACAAAGAAAACUCCCACCAAGUCUCCUGUACCAACUCCCACCAAAACUCGCAUUGCUAUAGCACCAAAAGAAUCAGAACUUAAGAAAACAAAGACAACUGUGCCCAAAGUCACAGAAGGCGCUAAAACCCUUCAAACUAGCCUAAACAAGAGUCAGAAAAAGAAAUAGCCAGUUGCUGUACCAUUAGGUUCACCAAAGGAACGUUUGAGAAGUGGAAUCAUAGAAUAAGUGAACAUUUUCAGCAUGUCCUGCAGUAGAACUUCAAACAAUAAAGGGAGUAUCCCCUGCCUGCCCAGUUUAAUUUUGCUAUUUCAAAAAAAAUUCCUUUCUUUUAUUUAUUUUAUCUUGUUUAUUGAACAUUUAUUUUUGAUAAUGUAUGCAUGUCUAUCUUUAAAUCAUUUUGUGUGCAUGUGAGGACACCAUGCUUCUCAAGUUUGAGGAGGUUGUGCUACGGUGUAAUGUGUCUAUGAAUGAAUGUGUUUGUGUUGUGUGUGUAGCUUUGUUUAUCCAUCAUUUUUAUUUGGAUUAGAAAACCCAAUAAGGAUAAAUUGAGUGUUGAAAUGGGGAAUGAAUUACUACCAAGCAUAGACAGUUUAUAAAUGAAGGUUGAAACUCUAUCUGAACAAUUAGGUUUUGGUUGAGUUUUGUGAGUAUGUUGUACCAAAAUCAGAUAAAACAACAAGGUUUAAAAUAUCUCAAGUUGGGGGAGGGGGGCCUAAAAAUUUUUUCAAAAUUAUUACAAGUGUGCUGGUUAUAGAAUAAAAUUAUGCUCCAAUGACUUAGUUGUUGAGUAACCAGGGCUAAGUAUGUACCACAUAUGCAGACCUGAGUAAAAGGGUAGUGAGAGUUAUAAGCAUUACUUUAGCAACUAUUUUUUUUUUUUAAAAAAAAAGAGAAGAGCAAGAUAGGCCCUCUGUCUAGGAUAUUGAGUAGCAUGUCUAUUUAUGCAACCCAUGUUCAGCCUUGAGUUAAAGGUGUCUAUAGAUAAGACUAUGUUAUAGCAUCUUAGAUGUUUUUGGUGUAACAACUCUAAUAUGUACAUUAGUCAAGUAAUUGAGUGUUAUUAUUACAAAUGAUAGACAUUCACAUGAAGAAUCAAUGUUACACUGAAAGGUAUGACACUGAAAAAAAAAAAUUUUGUUGUAGCACAGUUUGAAGUCAUUUCUUAAUUUUUGUUCCCUCAUAAGAGGAAAUGUUUGUUAUUUGAUCUUUAAGUCAUAUUUGAUGCUUGUGUGAUACUGCAACAAAUCUGGAGUUGGAUCAAAGUGCCACACACACACUUUGGACAGAAAAAGACAUAAGUCUAGAACUAGAAUUGUUUAUGGCAAUUUUUCAGGUUUAAGAAUGUGAUAUAUGUCAAGAUCAAGCGCUUACCGCUAGGUUAAAAUCUUAAGUUGAUAGCCAAGGUGCAACUUUAUUUCCUUAUACCAUGGAAGUGCACAGUCCCACACUAAGCGGCGGGUGGGCAUGACGGGCUGCACACAUUUGUAAUUGUACUAAUGGGCUGGGCAGUUAUGCCCUAGGUAACCUUACUGCCACCUGUGGACAUGACGGGCUGCACACAUUUGUAAUUGUGCCAGUCGGCAUCCCACACUAAGCGGUGGGUGGACAUGAGAGGCUGCACACAUUUGUAAUUGUACCAACGAGCAAGGCAGUUAUGUCCUAGGUAACCUCACUGCCACCUCAAUGGAAUUACACGGAAGGAUGUUACACCUACAAGCGCACAAAAGAAUUGCUAGGGCCCUAUAACCCAAACAAUCCCCCUCCCACAAAAUUGCUUAUGUGGCGGCUUGAAUCCAGGAUCUUGUUCUGAUACCAAUUGUUAGGAUCAAGCACUUACCACUAGGUUAAAAGUUUAAGCUGAUAGCCAAGGUUCAACUUUAUUUCCUUAUACCAUGGAAGCGGAGAGCCCCACACUAAGUGGUAGGUGGACAUGAAGGGUUACACAUAUUUGUAAUUUUGCCAACGGACCGGGCAGUUACGCCCUAAGUAACCUUACUGCCACCUUAAUGGAAUUACAUAGAAAGAUGUUACACUUACAAGCGCACAGAGAAUUGUUGGGGCCUCAUAACCCCAACAAUCUGAGGUGCAAUAUGAUGCCUUUGAAACAUAGCACCUACAUUAUGCAUAAAACAAACCUAGAUUAAUUUAACACAUUUAAUCUGUUAUAACUAUAUAAUUUUGUAAAAGCAAAAGAAAAUAUUACAAUUAUAGUAUGAAUUGCUUUGUGAAAAUGUCGAAUGUCUCAGAAGCGGACAGUUGAGGCUCCUGAAACCACCAAACAAAAAUAACUCUUUAAAUUAAUCACCUUAAGAAACUUUACUCAACCAAUUCUUAAACUUACCCUAAAAUCACACUUUCAAACUUCAUAGUCAAUUUUUAUUUUCUCAACAGUUAACAAUUCUCUUGUUCUACCCAUUAUGCACGUGAUCAUAUUCUUGAAAGAAAUUAAAUCCCAAAAUUAGCCUCAUACUAUUUCUUCCUGUAGCAUAAGCUUUUCUGUGUGUGUAUAAAUAUAUAGACAGUCCUAUCAAUGUUAAGAGCUCAAUAUUUGAAUGUCAAUUAAUAUGUGAUUCAAUUAUUGGAGGAUAAAAUAAUAAUUUUAAAAGUUAUAAAAUUCAUUGUCCAAUAAAUCAAUGAAUUAUAAUAAUGUAUUCUCAAAAGUUAGAAGUUAAAUAUUGACAUUAUUAAUAUUAUUUGUUAAACUUUAAACCUUUUGGUCUUACAACAAGAGGCGAUCGUAAGAUUCUUAUAUGUUUCUGGUUAUAAAAUAUACCUGGAUUACGUCAGUGUCAUUUGGCAUUAGUGAGGGAAUAGCAUCGCCCAUUGCAGCAAGCAGUCGACCAUAUGUGAGGCAAGGUUCAUUUUUAACAGCUUGGAUAAAGCUAGAAGUCAUAACACCUGUGACAUCUUUGCCUGAAAAAGCCUGCAUGCAUGUAUCAUUCCAACCAACUAAAUUAAACCAUUUUUAAUUUUGAUACAUACAUAUAUACAAACAUACAUGCAUGCAUACCUAGGCUAAAGAAAGUUGAGGAACAAAAUCCUGCAUAUAUAUAUAUUUUUUAAAAAUUUACAUAUUCUCGUAUUUAAUAGAAAUCUAUCUCCACUUCGUUAAAUCUUAUUUGAGAAAGAAAAAUUCUUCAGCCUCCAUAUCUCUAAUGGGGAUUCUAACCGUGAUAGUAGUAGUCCACCAUUAGGAAUAUGAUCCAUCUCUUUUAUAGCCAAGUUUGUUAAAUAUAUAUAUCAACUAGGGAUGGCAAUGGGGUGGAGAGGUCCACCCCAUUCCCCACCCCAUUAAAAAUUUCACUUCCAUUCCCUACCUCAUCCCUCAAUAAAUUUAGUGGGCUGGGGAUGAUGAAUCCUUAUGUGGGGAAUUAUUUCCCCAUCCUCACCUCAUUAUCUAUUUACUUAUUUUAUAAUGAGUAUAGGUAAAUAAUUUCAGUAAAUUCAUAAUAAGAAACUUAAAUAAAAUCGUUACCACAUUACAAAGUAUUUAAAUUAUUUAAAAAAAUCUCCAACAAAAUGAAACAACGUCUUGAAAUAAUAUCAAAACAAAAAUGUUUAAAGAGAGCAGUACGUUGAGAGAAAAAAAUAAAAUAUAAUAAUGUUUUAGGGUUGAAAAAGAAUUAUAAUGUAGCGUUUUAUUUUAGUUACAACCUGUUUAUAUUAGGUAAAAAUAAAAAGAAAAUUUAUCAUGCAAUAUUAUUGAACAAAAAUUAAAAAAAAAACAUAUAAAAUGGGAUUGGGGUGGGGGUAGGGUAGGGAGUGUAAAACCAAACGUUAUCCCAUUAAGAAUUUAGGGAUUAUGUUCCACCCAUUUCCCACCUAAUUACCCAAAAAUUAUUUAAAAUUCACCUCAUCUGAGGUGGAGCCCCGUGAGACUCUAAACUGGUGAAAGAUUUAGCCAUCUCUAAUGUCAACAUAUAAAAGAACAAGAAAAAAUAUUGUAUGUGUCCAAAAAGUUGCUCACCGAGGUACUUGCAGAGGUUUGAUUAUCAGAGCAAGCACUAAACGAGAGGGCUAUCCCGCCGCUUGUGCCUUUAUAGCAAGCUGUUGGAAUUCUUUGAUCUUCCCAUUUGUACUCUUCACUAGUAAAAAUACCGUACAAUAAUUAGCCAAAUUUUUCAUAAUGAUUUCUUAUUAUUAAUUCAUUAUAAGGGAGAUUAACACCUUUCCAAUAACGAUUUUCAGCUUUCCUAGUCUUACAAAUUUUAAAAUAUUGCAAUACCCUCUUGUGUGAAAGCCUUCAUUGAAAUCCGAAUCAUAAAACAAUCAUCUUUUUUCAAGAAUAAAUAUGCAUCGGCGAAGAACCAGGACGACUAGCUUGGGAUAAAGACUUCGGAAAAACUUCAAUCAAAUCCUUGUAAACAAGAAAUGCUAAAAUUGGCAUUUAAAUAUUAGGGAUGGCAAUAGGGAGGGGAUGCGAUGGGAGAGAACCGACAUCUCUGUACUCACACCCGAUAUUUUACAUAUGUCCCCACCCCCUCCCCGUCCUAGUUAGAAUUGGUUGAGGGAAUCUUAAUCCCUUCCAUGAAUAAUACUAGGAGAUCUCCAAUGGUCUCUUAUCCCCAAAUAACUGAUACAUUUUUAGUUUUUUAUUUUAAUUUAAUUAUAUUAACAUAAUAAAUUUAUUAAAAAAAAAAAACUAGAGUUAAGGCGGCUGUUGUUGUCGAAACUUAGAAAUUAGGUUUUAUGAUUUUUCUUUGACUUUUAUCUUAUUAGAUAAAAGCUUAAAAUAUUUAACAAAUAUUGUUAUUUAAAAUAUUUUAGGCCAACAGAAUCUUGUCCGGCCUUUUUAAUGUCCUAAUUAAAUAGAAAUUUAAGAUUACAACUAGUCAACCAUGCCCCAAAGUUUUUUAAUAUAUAUAUAUUUUGAUAUUUGUUAUUUAUACUAAUAUUUAAUAUUUUACAAUUUAAAUUUUAUUAUUUAUUCACUAAUAAUUUUAAAAAAUAAAAAUUAAAUUAAAAAUUAAAUGGAGAAAUGUGUAGGAGAUGGGGAUUCCACCUCAUGCCCGUCCAUUCCUGGAAUGAGAAGCUCGGUAAAAAUCAUUCAUUCCCGUCCACAAAUGAGAAAUUGGAUAUAAAAUCGUCCCCAUGCUUUCUCUGAAUGGGAAAAACUCCUAGGGUCCCCGUUCCCAUGAGAAUUUCUGCCAUCCCUAUUAAAAAUGUUAUUUUGACCCAGAUGAAAAAAAAUUGAUUUAAUUUUUAAACAAUUUAAUUUUUUCUUUUCCCUUAAUAUUUCUUAAAUCUGCCCAACCAUUCUCUAUAAAUUACAAAAAUAAAAAUUUAACUUUUUUUUUUAAUUAAUCGAAUGUUUUAAAUAAACAACAAAAGCACUACUGACAACUUUGACUAGGAUUUUUGUGGUUCAUCAAUUUUCAGUUUUGCUUUAAUUUGAAGGAACUAAUCACUUAUGUAUAGUAAGGUUUAUGAGCAUACAAUUUUUUUUCCCUAUAUAUAUUAGUCUAGGCCGCUAUCAAAUUAACUGCUAGCUUGACCACUGGAAACAUUGUAUUAUAUUUUAAAACAUACCUGAAAGUAAAUAGUAAAACCAAAAACAAUCCAAAAAAUGAGUCAAUCUCCUUAUUAUAAAAAAAUUCAUAUAUAUCUAAAUAGCUAAAAAGAAUUCAUAUAUAUUUAAAUACCCGUUGAUCUUGCACACAAAUGGUAGGUCCAAUACAGUUCCACUGUAGCAGGAAUCAAUGAUGGCAUGCAGUUUUGCACCACGGGGCAGUGGCCUUACAAUGGUGGCAUUGAUUUCAUCAUCAAUUAUAGGGCCUUCGGUCUCAUGAUCAAGCGGACAGAUGGUUUCAUCAAACCCAUCAAGCUCAUCUUUGUUGUAGUCCUUUUGCCUUGAUCCAUGGCCUGAGUAAUGAAAUACCAAUGAAUCUCCUGGCUGGCAAUCUUGCGCUAGCCAUCGCAUGGCCGUUCGAAUGUUUUGCUUUGUUGGAAUCCUAUAUGGAUUUUUCUCUUCUUCUGUCAAAUUAUACGAAUAUUUUGUUCAUAUUGGCGGAUAUUAUAUAAGAAUGUAAGAGUGAUGGUAAAUGUUUUCUUAAAUCAUUAUAGUUUUGAGUCAACUACUUAGUUAAUUCCUGUAUUUUCAAAGUUAUCUAAAAGAAUUAUAUUAUAUAUUUGUUUUUGUUAAAAUAUAUUUAAUUUUCAUUUAUUUUAAACGGGUUGCAUGUCAAAUUUGUUUGAACUCAAAAUAUCCGACAUCAAUACUAUUUCAACCUUGAAAAUUUUUUAAUCAAGUUCCAGUUUUGUCAACUCCUCUGCCUUAUAAAAAAAAAUAAAUCAAAGAAAAAGGAAAAUUAAAAUUACAGCUGCAAAGAAACAACGGGAUGUUUCAAACAAUUUGAAAAAAUACAAAGGUUAACUGAAAAAUAAUUGACUCAAACUGUAGGAACGAACAGAACAUGUACCCAUAAAAGUAAUCGAAUGCCAUUUAUUGGUAACUGAAAAAUAAGAUCGAGCUUUAAACGGAAGGUAUUAGACAAAAAAAUGCAAUAAUGCUAGCUUAUUAACUUAGUAGAGAGCAAUUUAUACCUGUCAAGAUGACUAUGCAGUCACUAGGAAACCCUAACAUGCGAACCAGAAGAAACCACAUACUCUUAACAUCAUUUAUGCUACCAGUAAGCAUGUAAUUUGUAUCAUUAUAUGUUACUCCACAUAGCAAUGCUUUUUUCCUCCCAUAAACCGGAGGAGGAGCCCACGCAGGUCGCGGUUGGUCUAUGUAAUAAUUAUUACAGCCUUGUCGAGGAUACUUGCCGUUUCCUGGACCAGCUGCCACAUAAUUGCUCGGCACUGUGGUGACAACGUUAUGGUGUGGUUGGCUCACUGAGCCAUAUACUUGAGCCCAUCGCUGAGAGGAUGAUGGAAAGCUCGUUACAGAUCGGCACGCAUGGCAUCGAGCGGCCACUGCCUGUCGUGGUAGCCAUAGUUGCCGCCCACAUCCGCCACAUCUUUCAACUCUACUUGUCAUAUUGAUUUGUAUAUGCUUUAGGCUAGAGAGGGCAACAAAUGAAAAAAACUCAUAUGCCUUUUCAAGGAUGAAAAGGCAGUGAAUGGGAGAGAGCUUUGGUAAUUAUUUGAUUCUUUCGCCAUCAUGCAUUGAUUUCAUUCCUUUGGUCACUAAAGAACCAGAUUCGCAUAUAUUUUUUAGAGGCAGAAUAUAUAACGAUUCUUUAUAUCUUUCGGUUUCGACUUGUCUAAGUAAUGACUAAUGAGGUCUUUUCGUGUGAUAAAAUUUAAAAUUGCAACCUUUAUUUCUAUAAUUCCGCAGAAAAGUUUUUAGUUCAAAGAGAAAUAGAAAAUAAACUCACAAAAGUUUUCUGAGACUCCUUAAUUAGAUAGUUUCUAUUUCAUUUCUGCAUUAGUUAAUUGCAGAUUUAAUCACAAUGUUGUCUCGAAAAGAUGCCAAGCAACUAGAUUCCAUUAGGGCCACGUUUAUUCAAUUACCGAGAAAAGAGGUAAAGGAAUACAUCGUAGGUAUAAAGGCCACACCUUAUCUCUUGCUUUUUCAUGUUAAACUUUGUUGAUGAAUGGUUCAAGCAUCAGUUCGGUCCAAAAUUCUCUUUGGCUUUUCACACUAUGUAAGGAAGAGUUUUCAAUGAAAUUCUUUAUUCCUAAGGCGAAUUCUAAUUAUUACCUUGAAGUUGAAGCUUUCUAGUUAGACCGCUAGAACAGAUUUUUCUGAUAGCUUGAAGUUGGAGCUUUCUGGUUAAACCGCUAGAACAGAUUUUUCUGAUAGCUUGAAGUUGAAGCUUUCUGGUUAAACCGCUAGAACAGAUUUUUCUGAUAGCUUGAAGUUGGAGCUUUCUAGUUAGACCGCUAGAGCAAAUUUUUCUAACCAUAAGGUUCUAGUGGUGAUGGCAGCAUAGUCCUAGCGCGACAGCCUUUACCCACGCCAGCGACAGGUUUAUAAAAUUUUAAUUUUAGGUUGAAUAUAGUAAUUAUUUUAUUAAUAAUUGCUUUAAACUCUUAUCUUCAAAUAUAUGGCAAAAGAAAAUAGGGUGAAUUUCACCCGACCCUCUUAUUUGACUGAAAUACGUCAAUUUAACCUUCAAAAGUAUGAAAACUUUAACUUACCUCCAAACGCCAUUAUUUUUAACAAUUGAUUAAUUCGGGACCAAUAUGAACCCAAAAAGUUUUAAUGUUGAGGGCCGAUUUAUUUUAGAGAUAAGUACAGUCUCAAAUAUAUUUUACGUUUGGGUUCAAGAAUCCGAACUCAAAAUAUUUCUUAUUUUAAAAUUAAAAUAUAUUUUAAAUUCACACAACUGAAAAAUAUUUAAUUUAAUCAAAUAAUAUAUAUAUAUAUAUAUAUAUAUAUAUGACAGAGAUAAAACCCGAAGUCCACACUUACCUCUCUCAAAACGCCGGUUAGACGCCGCCAAAUACCAAGCUUCGCCGCCAACGUCGCUCUUCCCUCUCGCUUAAAGACCGAGCUUUGCCGCAAGCUGCUAACCUUUCUCGCCGGACUCAACACCCCUCGCCGCCUUCGCCUGCGACGAGGCCGUAAUCUGUGAAACUUGGUUGAAUAUUACUAAGUGGUGUGUUCCAUCCAUUAGCCUUAGAAAUUAUUAUAUAAGUUUGUUCAUCGAUGUUGGAUUUGUUAUUACGGAUAUGCUUGAUGGAUGAUCAUCAAUUCGCUUUGUGUUGAAAUAAUCUUGUUAUUAAUUACGGAUAUGCUUGAUGGCUACAUUGACACUUUUCUCAUGUUUAAAUUUCAAUUCAUGCCAAAUUUUCAUUAAACAAAGAUAUCUUUUUUAUUGUUAAUUUGCAAGGGGCAACUAAUCAUCGUUCCGUUUUGGUCAAAUUAUAUUAGAAAUUAUAAUAAGUCAAAUUGGUCGUACUUGAGUCGUUUUGUAAUUUCGGUUUAGUUAGGAUUUAAUUUAUUUUCUUUAUUUUUUUACGAUUAUAAUCAAGUAAAUUUUAAGCUGCCUCAUCUUAAAAAAAAUUAAGUGAUCCUAAUAAAUAAUAUUCCAUUUAUUUCCCUAGGUACGGCAACAAAGCCUUGCGCCUUGCUCGUGCCCUUAAAAAAAAAAAAAAAAAGGCAGUAUCGUCCACAGCCGCCAGCUUCAGUUUAAUGACCGGAAAAAAAGAAAAAUUAUUUUGAGAACUUGUUAACAAAGAUGGACAGUGUCUUUGUUAACAAAGAUGGUAUGCGUGUUCAAACGUUUGUCAUUCUUUUGGUUAAUAUACUUAAAAUUUUCAGUUUAUUUUAUUUCUAAUCAGUCGGUAGUAAUCAAGAUUACUUGAAUGUAUAGCCAUUGCAAGAUCCACUUCACAUGUGCCACCGGCUCAUUACAUUGUCAAAAUAAAAUCAUUUUCAGUACUUGCUGAGAAAGCAGUUGAGGAGAAAUACGAAUCAGGAGCAUUUGAAGCUGGAGGCUACAAGUGGUAUGUAUAUACGUAUAUAAAUUUCUUUUUACCUUUAUCGCUGUAAAUUAAAUAACUUAUGCCACUACCUUUUCUUUUGUUCUUUUGUUAUUAUUAUUAUAUCAUCUUGAUAUAUAAUCAAACAACUCCUUAACUUAUGGGUUGAGUGUCAUUUUGGGUAAAAUCUUUUGGGCCGAAACAUAAGAUUUGGGGUUCGAACCUAUUUUAUAAAGAUGGAAGAGAAUUGGGUUUGCCAUUAAGCUACAACAAUAAUAAGAAAAAUACUACAACUCAACCCUCAUCCCUAAUGUGAUCAGGAUUCGAGCCUAAUUCUUAAACCAUAGUCUUUGCUUGAUAGUAUCAUAUAUUAGUGUAUUUAUGUUGAUUAAUUAAUUAUUGCAGGCAACUUGUUUUAUAUCCAAAUGGAAAUGAGAGCAAAAAUGUGAAAGACCACAUUUCACUCUACUUAGCAAUGGCAGACACAAGUUCACUUACUUUCGGUUGGGAAGUCUAUGCAGUUUUUCGUCUGUUUUUACUUGAUCAGAACCAAGACAACUACCUGGUAGUUCAAGGUUAUAUUAUAUUCUACUUUUGAAAUGUUAACCUUGAUCAUAUUUUCCAAUGAUCUACGUUUGACGAUUUUGACGAUAUCAUAUCGUUGUAAAUUUUAUGUAGUGUGAUCGUCUGUAUUUUACAAAUUAAAUACAGUCUAGCUGGUACAUGUAAAGUUUUACAGAAAAUAUUGCAGCAGAAACUCGUUUUAGUCUUUUAGAUACAGAAUUGUAUAAUUGGUGGUCGCUUGUAAUGUGAUAGAUGCCAUUGGAAAGGAAAGAAGGUUUAAUGGAUUGAAGCUUGAAUGGGGUUUUGAUCAGUUCAUCCCGCUUAAAGCUUUCAACGACGCUUCAAAUGGAUACCUUGUCGAGGAUACCUGUGUUUUGGGAGCUGAAGUCUUUGUUAAAGAAAGAAACAUAGUCAAAGGAGAGUGCCUAUCCAUGGAAAAAUAUGCAUAUAGUUCUAAGUAUGUUUGGAAGGUUGAAAACUUUUCAAAGUUGGACA